rnacentral:rRNA from 1 species
CCUACGGGUGGCUGCAGUGGGGAAUAUUGGACAAUGGGCGAAAGCCUGAUCCAGCCAUGCCGCGUGUGUGAAGAAGGCCUUCGGGUUGUAAAGCACUUUCAGUGGGGAAGAAAGCCUUGGGGCUAAUACCCUCGAGGAAGGACAUCACCCACAGAAGAAGCACCGGCUAACUCCGUGCCAGCAGCCGCGGUAAUACGGAGGGUGCGAGCGUUAAUCGGAAUUACUGGGCGUAAAGCGCGCGUAGGCGGUCUGAUAAGCCGGUUGUGAAAGCCCCGGGCUCAACCUGGGAACGGCAUCCGGAACGGUCAGGCUUGAGUGCAGGAGAGGAAGGUAGAAUUCCCGGUGUAGCGGUGAAAUGCGUAGAGAUCGGGAGGAAUACCAGUGGCGAAGGCGGCCUUCUGGACUGACACUGACGCUGAGGUGCGAAAGCGUGGGUAGCAAACAGGAUUAGAUACCCGAGUAGUC